UUCCACUAAUUUCAUUGUUGCUAACAUACAUCGCUUAUGUCUACCAUUCAUCGUUUACGAACAAACAUAUAGACUCACAAAAUGUAAUGAAGAAACAUAACAUGCAUUUAACAUAAAUUCUAAUGGCAUACAAAAUAUAUAGUAGCGCUACACAAGUCUUUAAAUUACAUAUAUAACUCUAACAACCCAUUGACUAAAAUACUAAUAAUCAAGCCAGUCCUUUUGGUUUUCCAUCCAAUUCCAAGCAUCAUUUUCCCUUGCGGAAUGUCACUUGUAGUAGUGACACCUCGACGUUUCGUGUCUCAAUUAUUCGGGCUAGAGUUUCGAGCAUGCUAGGCAAAUCUUGAACUUCUUCAUUCCACAAGUCUUGAACUUUCUCAUUCCCUGCAAUAGUUAUCACUUCGUUGACGUCACUACAUUGUUCACUUGAUUUUCCUUCAUCUACCCAAUCGAAAUAUCCACAAUUGUUACUGUAAGUGUUGAAUAAUCGCCCUUUGUUACGUGUCUUUUUUUCAACCUCAAAGCAUUUCUAAAAUUCGUGUGGACACCAUGGGCAACGACGUUUUCUCCUGCACUCCCAGAAUGAGUACCAUUUGCUUCGACAACUGUGACAUAUUCCGACAUUCCUUCCUCUCAUGCUGAGAUGGUCGACAACUAUACAAAUAAAAUUCUUAACUCAUGUAAUAAACUGUAAUCACUAACAUAAAUAUUGGCACCAUAAUUAAAUUGCCAUGUCUACGAUUAUGAGUUACAACCACCUCAUUAAGACAACUCUGCUUUUAUAGGCUAUAAUUUACAAGGUGAUUGAAGAUAAAUAAGGUGAAUGACGAUUCAAGGGUUGAUCAUUGAAGUCUGGGCAACAACGAUGAAGGAAUUUGAAGGCACAUCUACAACAAAAAACUACCAAGCUAAAGAAAUAACAAGUGAAAUUGAAAAAUUAAAAACAUAAUACAGUAUGCAGAAGAAUUUCACAGACCACGGCAUAUUGCAGAACUUAGCACGUUCAAUCUGUCAAUCCCAUUUCGUCUUCAAUUUCAAAUAUUUCAAUCCCUUAAUUUACAAAUCUAUAACAAUAAUUGAUUUCUCUAAUCAUUCCCUGUGUUCUUCAACUUUUAAUCACACAAACAAUAAAUAACCAUUUAAAUCCUUUCAUUCUUUUUGGCAAAGUGUUAUUUACAGUUUAAUUCGGUGAACUCAUGGCUGUUCAAUAAAUUUCUUCCUACAAUCAGAUAUUACAUGUGAAGCACAUACCUCAUAUGUAUAGACGAAAUCUAGUAUCUUCUUCAAUUGGGCGUCGUGGUUGCUUCGCGGCGGUCAAAGAUCAGAGCAAGGUUUGAACUUCUCUGAUGUCCACAACAUCCAGCACGAGUCACACUUUUUCUUCUUCGUUGACUUCGUUGCUGGGCCGGAGAAGGAUCUGAUUCCGGUUGCGAGCCCGUCAUCGUCAGUGAGGGAAGGUGGUGAUGGGAAUGAAGAGGUUGGGAAGGGUUUUGUUUCGAUUAGGGCGAUUUUCAGAGAAGAUUAAAGGGCUGCCUUUGU
rnacentral:lncRNA from 1 species